AUUGAACGCUGGCGGCAUGCUUUACACAUGCAAGUCGAACGGUAACAGGUUAAGCUGACAAGUGGCGAACGGGUGAGUAAUGCAUCGGAACGUGCCCGAUCGUGGGGGAUAACACUUCGAAAGAAGUGCUAAUACCGCAUACGAUCUGAGGAUGAAAGCGGGGGACCGUAAGGCCUCGCGCGAUCGGAGCGGCCGAUGUCAGAUUAGGUAGUUGGUGGGGUAAAGGCUCACCAAGCCGACGAUCUGUAGCUGGUCUGAGAGGACGACCAGCCACACUGGGACUGAGACACGGCCCAGACUCCUACGGGAGGCAGCAGUGGGGAAUUUUGGACAAUGGGCGCAAGCCUGGUCCAGCAAUGCCGCGUGCAGGAAGAAGGCCUUCGGGUUGUAAACUGCUUUUGUACGGAGCGAAAAGGCUCUCUCUAAUACAGGGGGCUCAUGACGGUACCGUAAGAAUAAGCACCGGCUAACUACGUGCCAGCAGCCGCGGUAA
rnacentral:rRNA from 1 species